rnacentral:rRNA from 1 species
UACGUAGGGUGCGAGCGUUAAUCGGAAUUACUGGGCGUAAAGCGUGCGCAGGCGGUCUGUUAAGACCGAUGUGAAAUCCCCGGGCUUACCUGGAACUGCAUUGGUGACUGGCAGGCUUUGAGUGUGGCAGAGGGGGGUAGAAUUCCACGUGUAGCAGUGAAAUGCGUAGAGAUGUGGAGGAAUACCGAUGGCGAAGGCAGCCCCCUGGGCCAACACUGACGCUCAUGCACGAAAGCGUGGGAGC